AUAGGUUAUGUUAAGCCUUCGCUGCCUGAAGCCUUCGCCGCCCGAACCCAUUGCCGCAACAGCUCCUUGCCUCUCCGUAAUAGCUCUCUGCCUCUCUUCACUACCGUCGCCGUCGCCGUCGCCGUCGUCGUUGCCGGACUCCUCUCUACCUCUCGGCACUCACCGCCACCAGCCGUAGGGAUCCUCUCCACCUCUCUGCACUGACCAUUGCCGGCCGCACGACUCCACUCCGCCUCUCCGCACUCGCCGUCGUCUGCUACAAGACUUCCUUCCAUCUCUCCGUAUCAUAGGACCACAGCAAGAGUAAGCAAGCCCUUUGUUAACCACUCCACACUCUACAUCAAGCCAAAAGCUCAAAGCCAAAGGACACUUCAGCAACUUGUGCACUUGCCUUCAAAUUACAUUCAAGCAUGUUAAAAUCUGAAUUUGGAGUCAUCAAAGAUUUUGCUGCUUGGAGUCCACUCUGCUUUGCAUCAUGACUAUAUUUGCAAGUAUUGCUAAAGUAAUUUCAAGCGAGGGUUCCAUAUUUGCUGGAAACUGACAAGGCUACAGUGGAAAUGGAGUGCAUGGAAGAAGGAUAUCUUGCCAAGAUAAUACAUGGAGAUGGGUCCAAAGAGAUAAAAGUUGGUGAGAAAAAAUAUUAGAAUGUCCACCCGAAUCUCAAAACACAACUAAUAUUGUUGAUGAUACAAUUAGCAUUGUGUUUGGCAAAGAAGCUCGGGGUAGAGUGCGCGGAAUGGGCUUUGGAGUUACACCAUCGAAAGUUGGAGCUUCUGUGCAACAAAAUAGAACGGUUCAACAACUUCAAACUAUAGUACAAAAUGUUCAACAACAAAUGUAAGAAAUGAGGCAACAAAAUCAACUAGAAAUGCAAGAAAUGAGGUCUAUGUUUUUACAAAGUAUGAGAUAACAAAAUCAUCCAGAACAGGUUAGUAAGUAAACAAUAUAUAUAUAAUAAGUUUGAUAUUUACACUUAAAUGCUUUUAAAUUAUCAUGAUGACAUUGCUUGACACGAUUUGGUUGUAAAAUUAGAUUGCUAGUGGUGACAUUUGUAGCGGUAUUGGGAAUGAAAUUGGUAGCAAUAGAGAUAUCAAUAUUGGUGCAAAAAAAAGUGGUGAUUUUGGUCAUAUUUUUCAGUCAAAUUUGAGAAAUGUGAGUCGUGGAUAUAUCUGUGUUAAUACUAAAUGUAAGCUGCUUCAUUGGUCUACUGAUGAAUUAGUUGUUGCAGAAGGUCGAAUUGCAUCCACAGAUCCAAACACAAAAGUGCAUCACGUUAUUCUUGGUGGAUCAUGUUGGAAAGUUUAGGUUGAUAAAGUUUUGGUGGAAAAGGUGGACCUAAUUCGACCAAAUGAUAAAAUGCAGUUUCUUGAUAAUGCAAUAGGAAGCACGGUUGCAUGGUUAUUGAAAUUUAUAGUAUUAUGUGAUUGAUACAUAAUACACU